rnacentral:pre_miRNA from 1 species
CUAUAAAUCACCUGAGGAUCUUGUUAGGCUGCAAGUUGUCAUUCAGUGGAGUUAGGCCUGAGACUCUGCACUUCUAGCCAGCUCCUGGGCGAUGGUGAU